rnacentral:rRNA from 1 species
GACGAACGCUGGCGGCGUGCUUAACACAUGCAAGUCGAACGGAAAGGCCCUGCUUUUGUGGGGUGCUCGAGUGGCGAACGGGUGAGUAACACGUGAGUAACCUGCCCUUGACUUUGGGAUAACUUCCGGAAACUGGGGCUAAUACCGGAUCGGAGCUCCUGCUGCAUGGUGGGGGUUGGAAAGUUUCGGCGGUUGGGGAUGGACUCGCGGCUUAUCCGCUUGUUGGUGGGGUAGUGGCUGACCAAGGCUUUGACGGGUAGCCGGCCUGAGAGGGUGACCAGCCACAUUGGGACUGCGAGACGGCCCAGACUGCUACGGGAGGCAGCAGUCGAGAGUAUUGUACAAUGGGCGGAAGUCUGAUGCAGCAACGCCGCGUGCGGGAUGAAGGCCUUCGGGUUGUGAACCGCUUUCGCCUGUGACGAAGCGUGAGUGACGGUAAUGGGUAAAGAAGCACCGGCUAACUACGUG